GAUGGACAACAGGUUGAUAUUCCUGUACUACCGAUAACCGUUUGAGAGAAGGGAUGACACAGUAGGAUAAGCUAAGCACACUGUUGGUUAUGUGUGCCCAAGCAUUGAGGCGGUCAAAGUAGGCAAAUCCGCUUUGAUAAUGCUGGGAUGUGAUGGGGAGCGAAAUUUAGUAGCGAAGUAGCUGAUUUCACACUGUCAAGAAAAGUCUCU
rnacentral:rRNA from 1 species